GACGAACGCUGGCGGCGUGCUUAACACAUGCAAGUCGAGCGAUGAAGUUCCUUCGGGAAUGGAUUAGCGGCGGACGGGUGAGUAACACGUGGGUAACCUGCCUCAUAGAGGGGAAUAGCCUUCCGAAAGGAAGAUUAAUACCGCAUAAGAUUGUAGUGCCGCAUGGCAUAGCAAUUAAAGGAGUAAUCCGCUAUGAGAUGGACCCGCGUCGCAUUAGCUAGUUGGUGAGGUAACGGCUCACCAAGGCGACGAUGCGUAGCCGACCUGAGAGGGUGAUCGGCCACAUUGGGACUGGGACACGGCCCAGACUCCUACGGGAGGCAGCAGUGGGGAAUAUUGCACAAUGGGGGAAACCCUGAUGCAGCAAUGCCGCGUGAGUGAUGAAGGUCUUCGGAUUGUAAAACUCUGUCUUCAGGGACGAUAAUGACGGUACCUGAGGAGGAAGCCACGGCUAACUACGUGCCAGCCGCCGCCGUAA
rnacentral:rRNA from 1 species